rnacentral:rRNA from 1 species
CCUACGGGCGACAGCAGUGAGGAAUAUUGGUCAAUGGUCGGGAGACUGAACCAGCCAAGCCGCGUGAGGGAUGAAGGUACAGAGUAUCGUAAACCUCUUUUGUCAGGGAACAAAGGCGGGGACGUGUCCCCGGCUGAGUGUACCUGAAGAACAAGCAUCGGCUAACUCCGUGCCAGCAGCCGCGGUAAUACGGAGGAUGCGAGCGUUAUCCGGAUUUAUUGGGUUUAAAGGGUGCGCAGGCGGUCUGUUAAGUCAGCGGUCAAAGCCCGGGGCUCAACCCCGGCCCGCCGUUGAAACUGGCAGUCUCGAGUUGGAGAGAAGUAGGCGGAAUGCGCGGUGUAGCGGUGAAAUGCAUAGAUAUCGCGCAGAACUCCGAUUGCGAAGGCAGCAUGCCGGCUCCACACUGACGCUGAGGCACGAAAGCGUGGGUAUCGAACAGGAUUAGAUACCCCUGUAGUC